rnacentral:rRNA from 1 species
UACAGGGGGGGCAAGCGUUGUUCGGAAUUACUGGGCGUAAAGGGCUCGUAGGUGGCCAACUAAGUCAGACGUGAAAUCCCUCAGCUUAACUGGGGAACUGCGUCUGAUACUGGAUGGCUUGAGUUUGGGAGAGGGAUGCGGAAUUCCAGGUGUAGCGGUGAAAUGGGUAGAUAUCUGGAGGAACACCGGUGGCGAAGGCGGCAUCCUGGACCAACACUGACACUGAGGAGCGAAAGCCAGGGGAGCAAACGGG